UACGUAGGGUGCAAGCGUUAAUCGGAAUUACUGGGCGUAAAGCGUGCGCAGGCGGCUGGUCAAGUCCGAUGUGAAAUCUCCCGGCUUAACUGGGAAACUGCAUCGGAAACUGAUCGGCUUGAAGGUGGGAGAGGGUAGUGGAAUUCCCGGUGUAGUGGUGAAAUGCGUAGAUAUCGGAGGAAGACACCAGGUGGCGAAGGC
rnacentral:rRNA from 1 species